rnacentral:lncRNA from 1 species
CCCCUGUGUUCAUAAAACAUCAACUAAAGUGAAAUUGGACUGCCCAUAAGAGGAACACAGUAAGAUGAAGAGAAUCAGAGAAUAAGAAAAAGUAUUCCCAGGACAAAGCUGUACAUUCUAGCAUAAAAUAGAGGGGAAAAGAAAUAACUAAAAUAAGGAAUAAAUCCAGAAGCAGGGGAAGAUUCCAUAGGUUUACACAGAAAGAAAAUCAAAGCUC